AUACGGAGGGUGCAAGCGUUACUCGGAAUCACUGGGCGUAAAGGACGCGUAGGCGGGUUGUCAAGUCUGAUGUGAAAUCCUAUGGCUCAACCAUAGAACUGCAUUGGAAACUGGCAACCUUGAGUAUGGGAGGGGGAGAUGGAAUUAGUGGUGUAGGGGUAAAAUCCGUAGAUAUCACUAGGAAUACCGAAAGCGAAGGCGAUCUCCUGGAACAUAACUGACGCUAAGGCGUGAAAGCGUGGGGAGCAAACGGGAUUAGAAACCCGAGUAGUCC
rnacentral:rRNA from 1 species